GGGUUGUGCUGGGGCUGCUGCAAUGGGGCUGCAGAGCACCUUCAGCAUCAACCCAGGUAGGAAUGCAUUCCAGCAAUGCAUGGGGGCUGGGCUGUAUUGCUGAGGUACUAAUGCAUUGCUGGGGCUGCAGAGCACCUUCAGCAUCAACCCGGGUAGGAAUGCAUCAAUGCAUGGGGCUGUGCUGCAUUGCUGGGGCUGUGCUGGGGCUGCAGAGCGCCUUCAGCAUCAACCCUG
rnacentral:lncRNA from 1 species